UCUGGUGUCAGCCGCCGCGGUAAUACCAGCUCUCCGAGUGGUAGGGAUGAUUAUUGGGCUUAAAGCGUCCGUAGCCGGCUUAGCAAGUCUCCUGUUAAAUUCAGCGACCUAAUCGUUGGUCUGCGGGAGAUACUGUUGGGCUAGGAGGCGGGAGAAGCCGACGGUAUUCUCGGGGUAGGGGUGAAAUCCUGUAAUCCCGGGAGGACCACCAGUGGCGAAGGCGGUCGGCUAGAACGCGCUCGACGGUGAGGGACGAAAGCUGGGGGAGCGAACCGGAUUAGAUACCCGGGUAGUCCCAGCUGUAAACGAUGCGGGCUAGGUGUUGGGGUGGCUACGAGCCACUCUGGUGCCGCAGGGAAGCUCAUAA
rnacentral:rRNA from 1 species